UUGAUAAAGCCACUGUGGAAUGCUACAAAUGUCACAAAUUAGGACAUUUUCAAUGGGAAUGUUUAAGCAAAGAGGCAAACUAUGCAGAAACUCAAGAAGAAACACUGUUGAUGGCAUUUUUAGAUACAAAGGAUGUUAAUAAAGAGGACGCACGGUUCCUUUAUUCGGGAUGCAACAAUCACAUGUGUGGAAAGAAGGAAUAUUUCGUCAAUUAUGAUAAAAAUUAUAAAGAUACAGUGAAGCUAGACAACAACACAAGCUUGGCUGUAACAAGAAAAGGGAAAUGUAAGAUUACUAAUGGAUGGAAUGAUGCAGAUCAUCAUAGGGGUUUUUUAUGUGCCAGAAUUGAAGAAUAAUUUGCUGAGUGUGGGCCAGUUGCGAGAGAAGGGGUUAGUUGUUCUAUUUCAACAUGAUAGAUGCAGGGUAUAUCACUCUGAGAAAGGGUUAAUCAUAGAUACAAAGAUGGCUGCAAAUCAAAUGUUCAAGCUACAUGUUGUUACUGCACUACCUGCUUAUUUCAACACAACCAUAGAAGAAAAGGUUCAACAACUCUAGCAUUGCAGAUAUGGGCACUUGAGUUAUAAAUGUUUGAAAACACUUCAACAGAAGAAGAUGGUCAAUGGCUUACCAGAACUCACGUCAUCAUCAGAGCUUUGCAAGGAAUGUAUGGCGGGAAAGCAACACAAAACACCAUUUCCAAAGAAAAACACUUGAAGGGCAGCGUAAAUUCUUCAAUUAAUUCAUUCUGAUAUCUAUGGGCCAAUCAAACUUGCUUCAAAUAAUGGAAAAAGGUACCUGAUUACCUUUAUUGAUGACUUCAGUAGAAAAACUUGGGUUUAUUUUCUAACAGAAAGAGCAGAGGCUUUUGUUAUUUUUUAAAAUUUUAAAGUUUGUGUUGAGAAAGAAUCAAAUUUGGUUAUCAAAUAUUUAUGAUUUGAUUGUGGAGGAGAAUUUACAUCACAUGAAUUCACAAAAUUUUGUGAUGACAAUGGCAUUCAAAGACAAUUGGCAGCUGCAUAUACGCCGCAGCAAAAUGAAGUAGCGGAACGCAAGAACAAAACUAUUAUGAAUAUGGUACGCAGCAUGCUUUUCGCAAAGAAGAUUCCAAAAACAUUCUGGCUCGAAGUAGUCAAUUAGACAAUACAUCGAAGCCCAACUCUUGCUGUCAAAGAUCAGACACCAGAAGAAGCAUGGAGCGGAGUCAAACCAUCAGUUGAGUAUUUUUGUGUUUUUGGUUGUAUUUCUCAUGUUCAUGUGUCUGAUUCUAAAAGAACCAAAUUAGAUAAUUAAAGCAUGAUGUGCGUUUUAUUGGGGGUUGGUAAGGAGUCAAAGCCUUAUAGACUUUAUAAUCCAAAAUCAAAAAGAAAAUUAUAAUAAGUAAGGAUGUUGUGUUCAAAGAAGAUUAGGCAUGGGAUUGGGAUGAAAAGUAUGAAAACACUGCUGUGUGUGACUUAGAAUGGGGAGAUCAGGAAAACGUAAUGACUGGAAUUAAUGAGACUGAAGAGAAAGGCGAAUCUGAAGUUGAUGCUGACAUAGGGAAUCCUUCCUCUGAUAUUUCAACUGGAGAUGAUGUUUCUAGUACAGAUGAAAAGAGAAACAGGGCACCACUGGCUUGGAUGAGAGAUUAUGAGACUAGAGAAGGACUUUCUGAAAAAGAUAAUGAAGCUUAUUUGAUGAUGUCUACAGCUGGCGAUCCUGUUCAGUUUGAAGAAGCUGGUAAAAGUGAAAAAUGGAUGAGAGAAAUGGAUGCAAAAAUAGAAUCAAUAAAGAAAAAUAAUACAUGGAAAUUGAUAGAAUUACCAAAGGGAGCAAAGAAGGUAGGAGUGAAGUGGGUCUAUAAAACCAAAUUUAAAGAGAUUAGAGAGGUGGAUAAAUACAAGGCUAGAUUUGUUAUGAAGGGGUAUUCACAAUGGUAUGGAGUAGAUUAUACUAAAGUAUUUGGCCCUAUUUCUUGUAUAGAAACAAUUCGACUGGUUGUAGCAUUUGUAGCUCAAAAAGGUUGGACUAUCUACCAACCAGAUGUGAAAUCAAUGUAAGGCGGAUAUCUUCGAUGGGAUAAAGAUGCCUGUGAUGAAAUAAAUCUUGUCAUUCACUUUGGUUUAGUGGUACGGAGUAGUUGAACUCAC
rnacentral:lncRNA from 1 species